ACGCUAGCUACAGGCUUAACACAUGCAAGUCGAGGGGUCUGCUUCGGCAGACGACCGGCGCACGGGUGAGUAACGCGUAUCCAACCUGCCCCUCUCUUUGGGAUAGCCUUUCGAAAGAGAGAUUAAUACCGAAUAACAUAGUCAAGUUGCCUGAUUCGACUAUGAAAGCUCCGGUGGAGAGGGAUGGGGAUGCGUUCCAUUAGAUAGUAGGCGGGGUAACGGCCCACCUAGCCAACGAUGGAUAGGGGUUCUGAGAGGAAGGUCCCCCACACUGGAACUGAGACACGGUCCAGACUCCUACGGGAGGCAGCAGUGAGGAAUAUUGGUCAAUGGGCGCAAGCCUGAACCAGCCAAGUAGCGUGAAGGAUGACUGCCCUAUGGGUUGUAAACUUCUUUUAUACGGGAACAAUCGCAGGUACGUGUACCUGUCUGCGUGUACCGUAUGAAUAAGCAUCGGCUAACUCCGUGCCAGCAGCCGCGGUAAUACGGAAGAUGCGAGCGUUAUCCGGAUUUAUUGGGUUUAAAGGGAGCGUAGACGGGAGAUUAAGUCAGUUGUGAAAGGCUGCGGCUCAACCGCAGCACUGCAGUUGAUACUGGUUUCCUUGAGUGCGGUUGAGGUAUGUGGAAUUCGUGGUGUAGCGGUGAAAUGCUUAGAUAUCACGAAGAACUCCGAUUG
rnacentral:rRNA from 1 species